UGAUCAUCCUUGACGACUACCAUGUCUCC
rnacentral:piRNA from 1 species